CAGCACCUCAAGUGGUCAGGAUGAUUAUUGGGCCUAAAGCAUCCGUAGCCGGCGCUGUAAGUUUUCGGUUAAAUCUGUACGCUCAACGUACAGGCUGCCGGGAAUUCUGCAGCGCUAGGGAGUGGGAGAGGUAGACGGUACUCGGUAGGAAGGGGUAAAAUCCUUUGAUCUAUUGAUGACCACCUGUGGCGAAGGCGGUCUACCAGAACACGUCCGACGGUGAGGGAUGAAAGCUGGGGGAGCAAACCGGAUUAGAUACCCGAGUAGUCC
rnacentral:rRNA from 1 species